CUCAGUAACGGCGAGUGAAGCGGUAACAGCUCUGAUUUGAAAUCUGGCCCUUUUAUGGUCCGAGUUGUAAUUUGUACAAAAUGCUUUGGGUGUGGCUCCGGUCUAAGUUCCUUGGAACAGGACGUCAUAGAGGGUGAGAAUCCCGUAUGUGACUGGCGGGCUUCGCCCGUGUAAAGCUCUUUCGACGAGUCGAGUUGUUUGGGAAUGCAGCUCUAAAUGGGAGGUAUAUUUCUUCUAAAGCUAAAUACUGGCCAGAGACCGAUAGCGCACAAGUAGAGUGAUCGAAAGAUGAAAAGCACUUUGGAAAGAGAGUUAAACAGUACGUGAAAUUGUUGAAAGGGAAGCGCUUGCAACCAGACUUGCGUGCCGUCGAUCAUCGUGGGUUCUCCCGCGUGCACUCGGCGGCGUUCAGGCCAGCAUCGGUUCCGGUGGUUGGAUAAAGGCCUUGGGAAUGUGGCUCCUCUCGGGGAGUGUUAUAGCCCUCGGUGCAAUGCAGCCUACUGGGACCGAGGACCGCGCUUCGGCUAGGAUGCUGGCGUAAUGGUUGUAAGCGACCCGUCUUGAAACACGGACCAAGGAGUCUAACAUCUAUGCGAGUGGUUAGGGUGUUAAACCCUUCCGCGAAAUUAACGUGAACGGAGGUACGAACCCUUUAGGGCGCAGUAUCGACCGGUCCUGAUGUCUUCGGAUGGAUCUGAGUAAAAGCAUAGCUGUUGGGACCCGAAAGAUGGUGAACUAUGCCUGAAUAGGGUGAAGCCAGAGGAAACUCUGGUGGAGGCUCGCAGCGGUUCUGACGUGCAAAUCGAUCGUCAAAUUAGGGCAUAGGGGCGAAAGACUAAUCGAACCAUCGGAACCUAACUACUAGGUGGUUAAGAGAGCUCUUCUAGUGCCGGGUCGGCUCGACCCGGGGCAUACCGUCAAUUGCGGGGACUCCCGUAGGAUG
rnacentral:rRNA from 1 species